ACAUGCCUACAACAUAGUGUUAAUGCAUUGGAUCCCAUUAGAACUCCGCAGUUAAGCGUGCUCGGGCUAGAGUAGUACUGGGAUGGGUGACUGCCUCAGAAGUCCUAUUGUUUUACAUGCC
rnacentral:rRNA from 1 species